CCCAAGACUGAUCCUUGCUUAAAAUCACUGAGUUCCAGGGGUGCCUGGCUGGCUGGGUCCAUGGAGUGUCUGACUCUUGAUCUCAGGGUUGUGAGUUCAAGCCCCAUGUUGGGUGUAGAGAUUACUUUAAAAUCUCAAAAAAAAAAAAAAAAGUCACUGACUCCCAACCUUCAUGCUGGUGCACAAGGUCACAUGCAGUGUGACUCCUUGCCACCUCAUCUUGGGUCACCCUACGCCCCAACUGUGUAGCUGCCAGUCACACCAGCAGCCCUUCUUCACUUUCAUGUGCUAAGCUCCUUCCCUUUCCUCUUUGCCACGUGGAUUCCCAUAUCAGUGCAAAUGUCCCUUCCUGGGGAAGGCUUCUCUAACUCCGGUGUUACCCCUCAUAUAAUCUUCCAGCAUCUUGUACUUGAGCACUUUUCAAGGUUGCUAAUUACCUUGUGCAUAUGACCCUUAAACACAAGGAGCUCCCCCAUGCAGCUCCUGAGCAGCUCGAGAACAGGUACCCUGUGUUGUUACACCUCCACUGUCACCUCAGUGCUUAGCACAUGUUAGUGCUCAGUAACAUUUGUGGCAUAAGAGAAAACACCCUGGAAUGGGCCUUAUCUGGAGGGUGUUGUCGAAGGGGAGCUCCUUAAGAUCCUUGGUUUUAUUUAUUAUCAUUAUUUUUUUAACUCCCAGGGAAGCAGGUCCAGAUCACAGACUGCCACGUCCUGGAGGAUGACUGGCUGGUGGCUCUGGCUGGCCACCAGCCCCGCUCUCUGUCUCUGCAUCGCUGCUGCCAUGCUGGCCAGGCCGUGACGGACCAAGGGCUGAGGCGACUUUUCCAGCACUGUGGGGAUGUUCUUCAGGAACUGAAUGUGACAAGCUGCAGUGGUCCUGGGCUUACAGGAGACAAGGUCCUGCUCCAUGCUGGGGCCCUUUGCACCAGAUUGACAGCAGUGGACAUGAGUUGGUCUGGAGCCACAGAUGUGGGUGUGAUGGCUCUCAUACAAGGAGCUUCAAGCCUUCAAGAACUGUCCAUUAAUGGAUGCCAGAUUACAGAUAAAGCCAUUAGAGCUUUAGUGAAAAAACAUGGAAACAGGUAAUAGUGAUAAGCUUCUCAUUUACAUAUACCUUACAUUUAUGUAUCACCUAUCAUUACACAGAGAGCAUUCUAUUGUCUUAUUUGUAUUAUGUCAUUUGGUGUUUCAUCAAGCACUCAUUUUCCCUAUUUGUCAGUUGAAUAAACUGAGGCCCAGGGCCACUAAGUGACAUGCUAACUGGCACACAGUAAGAUACAGAAGCUAGACUUUCCAGUUUCAAGCAGAGUGUUCUUUGUGUUCUGGAACAACUGAAGGAAAGAUCUGGAAAACAUUUUCUUCUCCUCUUGUUCAGAACCUCAAGGCUAAUCACAAAUAACUAGAGACUUUCCCCAUCAUGAUUUAAUGAUGAACUGUAAGAGUUAAUACCAUGCAUUUACCCCACCAUUGUGGAAAGAUCACAUGACUAUAAUUUCAGCAGCUGUCAUUUCCCCACACUUUGGGGGAGGAGUUGCCCACCCACUAUAGUAAGAUGACCAGGAGCAGAUGGCAUUGUGCAAAGGCACUGCAGACUCACAGGAUAGGGCUGGAUGAGGUUUGCUUUCUGUAACAUGA